GAUGAAGAACGUAGUGAAAUGCGAUAAGUAAUGUGAAUUGCAGAAUUCAGUGAAUCAUCGAAUCUUUGAACGCACAUUGCGCCCCUUGGUAUUCCGAGGGGCAUGCCUGUUCGAGCGUCAUUAUAACCCCUCAAGCUCAGCUUGGUGUUGGGGCCUGCUGCACUGGCAGCCCUUAAAUCAGUGGCGGCGCCAUCUGGCUCUAAGCGUAGUAAUUCUUCUCGCUAUGGAGUCCUGGUGGAUGCUUGCCAUCAACCCCCAAUUUUUCUAUGGUUGACCUCGGAUCAGGUAGGGAUACCCGCUGAACUUAAGCAUAUCAAUAAGCGGAGGA
rnacentral:misc_RNA from 1 species